ensembl:lncRNA
ACAUAUAUAUAUAUAUAUAUAUAUAUAUAUAUAUAUAUAUGUAUAUGUAUUUAGUGAGAGGCGUGUAACCCAUGAUUGAAGUGAUAUUGUGGUUGAAUCCCUGAUAUCAUCCACCUUUCCCUCUGAAAGGGUUUUUAAUUGAGUAUUUAAUUGUCCAAACCAAUAGAGAAAAUUUAAGGGCAAUUCUUACAUAAAGGAAAAAGGGAGAACUUUCCCUUUUUUUUGUGUAAACCAUUCAGAGUUUCCCUGCAGAAAGCUUCAACCUGUAUUGACAUUUUGGUUCCCUUUUUUCCCUGAUCCUGGCUGCCCUUGAUUCCAGAGGAGAACAAUGGGAGGGGAGUGAGUGCUGAGGGUAUUUAAAGCACAAUCAUGGGAAAUGCUCCCAUCACCACAGAGCCCUUUUCCUUCCCCUGGCGAAUCCCCUGGCUGUGCUCCAGAGCCUCUUUCCCAGGGGAAUUGUUCACGGGGAGAACUCCUGAAUUGCAGGGACACCACUGGAAGGGCACAAGGACACCUCAUCCAAAGCCCAGGAUCCACUUUCCUGCUGCAUUCAGAAGGUGCUGCUGGGGGAAUUGCACUGAUUCUAACAGCUCCAAAGUUGCUGUGUUUCCUUUCCAAAGCAAGGAUGGGGCAGGAGUUUAGGAGAGUCUUGUUCAGGACCAUGUGGAGCCCAGGACCAGCUCAGACUCAGGUGGUAAAAGCACAGCACCAUUUUCCUGCCUUGAGGGAAGAAGGACUCUGAACAGACACGUAUCAAGUGAAAUGAAGUGAUUUGUGUCCAAGAGGAGUUUGCAGCUGAUUCACAUGAUACCUGCAUGUUUUGAGAGGUUGUUUUGACUUUCCUCCAUGGUUCCUUAUCAAAUUCAUGACACAGUAGCUGGGAAGUGAAUGUGUUGUUCAGCACCUCGGGUAAAACUCAGCCCUUUGCUUUCUACACCUUGAAAAGGUAAAUAAAUAAAUCCUUUGGCCUAAAUCA